rnacentral:rRNA from 1 species
AGCGAACGCUGGCGGCAGGCCUAACACAUGCAAGUCGAACGAACCUUUCGGGGCUAGUGGCGGACGGGUGAGUAACACGUGGGAACGUGCCUUUAGGUUCGGAAUAACUCAGGGAAACUUGUGCUAAUACCGAAUGUGCCCUUCGGGGGAAAGAUUUAUCGCCUUUAGAGCGGCCCGCGUCUGAUUAGCUAGUUGGUUGAGGUAAUGGCUCACCAAGGCGACGAUCAGUAGCUGGUCUGAGAGGAUGAUCAGCCACAUUGGGACUGAGACACGGCCCAAACUCCUACGGGAGGCAGCAGUGGGGAAUCUUGCGCAAUGGGCGAAAGCCUGACGCAGCCAUGCCGCGUGAAUGAUGAAGGUCCUAGGAUUGUAAAAUUCUUUCACCGGGGACGAUAAUGACGGUACCCGGAGAAGAAGCCCCGGCUAACUUCGUG